GUAAACAUAGUUUAAAUAAAACUCCAGAUUGUGAUUCUGGCGAUAGAGGAUAAAACCUUCUUGUUAACC
rnacentral:tRNA from 1 species